GACGAACGCUGGCGGCGCGCUUAACACAUGCAAGUCGAACGGAAAGGCCUGCUUUCCCUUGUGGAUUGCGGGUACUCGAGUGGCGAACGGGUGAGUAACACGUGAGUGAUCUGCCCCCAACUUGGGUAUAAGCCUGGGAAACUGGGUCUAAUUCCCGAUAGGACUGCAGGGUGGUGCCUGUGGUGGAAAACGAUUUUCUAGUGGUUGGGGAUGAGCUCGCGGCCUAUCAGCUUGUUGGUGGGGUAAUGGCCUACCAAGGCGGCGACGGGUAGCCGGCCUGAGAGGGUGGACGGCCACAUUGGGACUGAGAUACGGCCCAGACUCCUACGGGAGGCAGCAGUGGGGAAUAUUGCACAAUGGGCGGAAGCCUGAUGCAGCGACGCCGCGUGGGGGAUGACGGCCAUCGGGUUGUAAACUCCUUUCGACCGCGAGGAAGCCACCUGGUUGGAAGGGUGGUGACGGUAGUGGUAGAAGAAGCACCGGCUAACUACGUG
rnacentral:rRNA from 1 species